rnacentral:rRNA from 1 species
CACGUAGGAGGCGAGCGUUGUCCGGAAUCAUUGGGCGUAAAGAGCGCGCAGGCGGCUUGGCAAGUCGGGUGUGAAAUCCCGGGGCUCAACCCCGGGACUGCAUUCGAUACUGUCAGGCUAGAGGUAGGUAGGGGAGAUCAGAAUUCCUGGUGUAGCGGUGAAAUGCGCAGAUAUCAGGAGGAACACCGGUGGCGAAGGCGGAUCUCUGGGCCUUACCUGACGCUCAGGCGCGAAAGCUAGGGGAGCGAACAGG